AACGAACGCUGGCGGCAUGCCUAACACAUGCAAGUCGAACGAAACCUUCGGGUCUAGUGGCGCACGCGUGCGUAAAGCGUGGGAACAUGCCUUUAGGUUCGGAAUAACUCCCCGGAAAGGGUGCUAAUACCGGAUAAUGUCUUCCGAACAAAGAUUUAUUGACUUUGGUGGGGCCGGAGAUGGCUCGGCUAGUGGGUAGGGUAAAAGGGUACAACGGCGACGAUGCAUAGCUGGUCUGAGAGGAUGAUCCGCCACACUGGUACUGAGACACGGCCCAGACUCCUACGGGAGGCAGGAGUGGGGAAUAUAGGACAAUGGGGGAAAGCCUGAUCCAGCAAUGCCGGGUGAGUGAUGAAGGUCUUAGGGUUGUACAGCUCGUUUACACGGGAUGAUAAUGACAGUACCGGGAGAAUAAGCACCGGCUAACUCCGUG
rnacentral:rRNA from 1 species